CCUACGGGAGGCAGCAGUGGGGAAUAUUGGACAAUGGGCGAAAGCCUGAUCCAGCAAUGCCGCGUGAGUGAUGAAGGCCUUAGGGUUGUAAAGCUCUUUUACCAGGGAUGAUAAUGACAGUACCUGGAGAAUAAGCUCCGGCUAACUCCGUGCCAGCAGCCGCGGUAAUACGGAGGGAGCUAGCGUUGUUCGGAAUUACUGGGCGUAAAGCGUGCGUAGGCGGUGAUUCAAGUCAGAGGUGAAAGCCUGGAGCUCAACUCCAGAACGGCCUUUGAAACUAGAUCGCUAGAAUUAUGGAGAGGUAAGUGGAAUUCCGAGUGUAGAGGUGAAAUUCGUAGAUAUUCGGAAGAACACCAGUGGCGAAGGCGACUUACUGGACAUAUAUUGACGCUGAGGUACGAAAGCGUGGGGAGCAAACAGGAUUAGAUACCCUGGUAGUCCACGCCGUAAACGAUGAUAACUAGCUGUUCGGGCUCUCAGAGCUUGUGUGGCGCAGCUACGACAUUAAGUUAGUCCGCCGUCGGGUAGGUACGGUCGGCGAGUAAGUUAAACGUACGUUAAAGAAGUUAGUUACGGCGUGAGACGNGCGACGGACGACGACGAGGGAGGAGG
rnacentral:rRNA from 1 species